UGGUGGGUUGCCUUGUCAGGUUGAUUCCGGUAACGAACGAGACCUCAGCCUGCUAAAUAGUCACGGCUGCUUUUUGCAGUCGACAGACUUCUUAGAGGGACUAUUGGCGUUUAGUCAAUGGAAGUAUGAGGCAAUAACA
rnacentral:rRNA from 1 species